AUGGAAAGAAUGAUAAAACAUGGGGAAUUUGGAGACCAGAUGAGUAUGCAUGUAUAAAAUUUGAAAUUGAAAUUAGUGAUGGAGGUUCUCUGUCAUAUGGCUUGAGCACAGCUGUAGAAUUUGCUGGUAGGAAGCACAAUAGUGGUGAAAAUAAGGAGGGUCUGAGCUUCAGCAUGUGCAAAAAGCUUGUGCAGGUGAGAAUUCUGGAUACUUUGUUCAUAUUUCAUUAUGUCUUUUGAUGCAUUAGUAGUGAGAGAAAUUUCUUGUGAUUACAUUUCACAUUUUUGAUGACCUGACUCUCUUUCUGUCCGAGUAACUAGAGGAUCAUUGUUGGCAUUUCUAUUAUUGCACUUCAUUUUUGGUGUUGGCCAUUUCCCUUUUCUUUCUUUUUCUUUUUCUUCCUUCCUUGUGAUCCCUCCAUUUCAUGAAAUGGAUUUUGUGCCUUCCAAUGAAAAUAAAACAAAUGUAAACCUUUCCAUUUCCUUGGCCAUAUGAAGUUCCAACAUUAUCUUGUUUUAUGGAUGAGCUAUUUCUAGUGUAGAACUGAAGCUGUUUUUUGUUGCUUACAUAUCAGUUUUGUUGGUUGGAACACACUAAUAUUUGCAAUUGAUACAUUUCCUCAUGAGAUCUCCUGCUUUGGAAACCACUAUCAGACAGGUGAUCUCCUGCUCACGUGUCAGUUCUUAAUGGAUUGGAUUAGGGUAAGGUUUACAGCAAACAUCUAAAAUCAAUUGUUUGUCUAAUAGGCUUUUGUCAAUACAAGACUGAAGAAACAGACUGCACUGAAUGAAAAAAAAAAAUGGGAAGAAAAAUGUUAAAUGAGUUUUUUUUUUUUUUUCUUUUUUGGUUAUAUAUAAAAUUUUCCGUUAAUUCUAGUACACCAUGAAUUUUUUUUACAAAAUUGAUAUUGCUAAUACACCAUACUGGAGGAUAAAAAGGCUUUGCUUCCAUCUCUAGCUUUUUGUAACUGCCAGGAAAUGUUCUACUCAUAAAAUAUGUGAAAAAAGCUUGUUAAAUCUUUGAUCUAGUUUAAAGUACAGCGCAAUAUAGUAGCAUUACUCCCUAAUACUAAUGUUUCAUUACAUUCCAUUUUAAGGAUUUCAAAGUAGUAAUGAGGAAUGCAAUGUGAGAAAUCUUUUUUGACCACUAAGAGUAGAUAACCAGUUCCCUGCUGUUUCCAUUGCAACUCGACCUGAUCACAAACCUAUUCCUUGUUUCUUUUGCCAUUCUUCCUGAAUAUAUGAUGUUCUAGUCUCAGAUAUUUGACGAUCCAUAAACUUGAUUGAUUAGGUUGUCACAAUAUGAUUGUCCGUGCAUGUGGUCAGUAGAGAGCAAUUUAGCCCCCCUAAACUUGUUUGAUUGCACAUUAUCAUUUAAUAAAAAUAUUGAUUAGCUCAUCUAUUGUUUACCGAAUUUUCAUUUAUUGUUGCUCUCUAACUAAAUUAGUCAAUAGUUUGAAGAACAAUGUUUCUGGACCUUAGAAUGCAUGUACAGUUUGAUGUUUUAUUUCAUGAUGAUAGUUUUAACUGGAUUUUUUGUGUGAAAAAUUCUGCAGAUGAUGCAAGGCAAUAUCUGGAUAUCCUCCAACCCUCAAGGUCUUGCACAAAGCAUGACACUUGUUCUCAAGUUUCAACUCCAGCCAUCUUUUGGGAGAUCCAUUUUUGGACUUGGAAAUUCCUCAGAACAACCAAAUUCCAAUUCUAUGUUCAGAGGACUUCGAGUUAUACUGGC
rnacentral:lncRNA from 1 species